GCCAGCAGUUAUAGCACAUUGAAUGCACCCGUUCACAACGGAUCACUGUAGUUAAGCAACGUUGUGGAUGGUUGGUAUCCGGACAAUGGAAACGAUUCCAAUGGCUCACC
rnacentral:rRNA from 1 species